CGCAGUCUGACUGGCCUCUUUUCUCCUAGUCAACUGGUGCCACAAUAGCUUCUGGGAGCCACAUUAGUGUAUUGCGAAAUAGCAGCUCCAAUAGCUCCAGUGCAGGAAGCAGCUAAUUUCAUGGCUAUUACUAAAGGCUGCUGUAGAGACUCAGUUACUCUCUUUGAACUGGGAUUAGUAACGAGGAAGAACAAAACAGUGCUCUUAUCUGGUCCUGAUAUUUAUUUGGCGCUGCAGGGUUGACUGGAAGAGAGCUCAGCUGUUUUACUCUAAUGUGAAUUUUAAAAGUCACUUCCCUUCAGCUUUUUCCUGACAGACAAAUGUAAAAGUGAGAACAAAUCAGGAACACAUGCUUGACAGAGACAAACAUCUGGAGCUGCUGCUGGCAACAAUAAGACUUCUGGAGGACAAGGGGAAACAAACUGUUGGUGCGGGGAAGAGGAGCUUGGAGUUUACAGUAUAGGAUGGUUUUAGAAGACAGAUGACAGUAGAUGGACAGCAACAAGGAGAGAAGGACAUGCAGAAAGACACAAAUUCACCUCAGGCUUUCCAUCAGAUGCGCUCUUACAAGAGUUCAGGGAAUGAUGUCAUCAUAUAUGACAUGGAG
ensembl:lncRNA